CCUACGGGAGACAGCAGUGGGGGAUAUUGCACAAUGGGGGGAACCCUGAUGCAGCGACGCCGCGUGGGUGAAGGAGUGCUUCGGCAUGUAAAGCUCUAUCGGCAGGGAAGAAGCAAGACGGUACCUGACUAAGAAGCCCCGGCUAACUACGUGCCAGCAGCCGCGGUAAUACGUAGGGGGCGAGCGUUAUCCGGAUUCACUGGGGGUAAAGGGAGCGUAGACGGGCAUGCAAGCCAGGGGUGAAAGCCCGGGGCCCAACCCCGGGACUGCCCUUGGAACUGUGCGGCUAGAGUGCGGGAGGGGCAGGCGGAAUUCCUGGUGUAGCGGUGAAAUGCGUAGAUAUCAGGAGGAACACCGGCGGCGAAGGCGGCCUGCUGGACCGCGACUGACGUUGAGGCUCGAAAGCGUGGGGAGCGAACAGGAUUAGAUACCCGAGUAGUC
rnacentral:rRNA from 1 species